GCUCAGAUUGAACGCUGGCGGCAGGCCUAACACAUGCAAGUCGAGCGGAUGAAGGGAGCUUGCUCCUGAAUUCAGCGGCGGACGGGUGAGUAAUGCCUAGGAAUCUGCCUGGUAGUGGGGGACAACGUUUCGAAAGGAACGCUAAUACCGCAUACGUCCUACGGGAGAAAGCAGGGGACCUUCGGGCCUUGCGCUAUCAGAUGAGCCUAGGUCGGAUUAGCUAGUUGGUGAGGUAAUGGCUCACCAAGGCGACGAUCCGUAACUGGUCUGAGAGGAUGAUCAGUCACACUGGAACUGAGACACGGUCCAGACUCCUACGGGAGGCAGCAGUGGGGAAUAUUGGACAAUGGGCGAAAGCCUGAUCCAGCCAUGCCGCGUGUGUGAAGAAGGUCUUCGGAUUGUAAAGCACUUUAAGUNNNAGGAAGGGUUGUAGAUUAAUACUCUGCANAUUUUGACGUUACCGACAGAAUAAGCACCGGCUAACUCUGUGCCA
rnacentral:rRNA from 1 species